AUUGAACGCUGGCGGCAGGCCUAAUACAUGCAAGUCGAACGGUAACAUAAAAGAAGCUUGCUUCUUUUGAUGACGAGUGGCGGACGGGUGAGUAAUAUUUGGGAAACUACCUGAUAGAGGGGGACAACAGUUGGAAACGACUGCUAAUACCGCAUAAAGCCUAAGGGUGAAAGCAGCAAUGCGCUAUCAGAUGUGCCCAAACGGGAUUAGCUAGUAGGUGAGGUAAAGGCUCACCUAGGCGACGAUCUCUAGCUGGUCUGAGAGGAUGAUCAGCCACAUUGGGACUGAGACACGGCCCAGACUCCUACGGGAGGCAGCAGUAGGGAAUAUUGCACAAUGGGGAAACCCUGAUGCAGCGACGCCGCGUGAGCGAAGAAGUAUUUCGGUAUGUAAAGUUCUAUCAGCAGGGAAGAUAAUGACGGUACCUGACUAAGAAGCACCGG
rnacentral:rRNA from 1 species